UCCCGCCCGCAGAUGCUCCAGUCGCCAGCGUAGCGGUUGCUAGGGGGGCUCUCGGGCCCACCCCGGUCUCGGGGCCGGGUCACCACUUCGGGCUCCCCCAGCGGCAGUUCCAGCAGGGGCUGCCGCUUCGGGCGGAGUGUGAGAAGGCAGUGCCAGUUGAAGAAUUCAAGGAGACAGUGAAGUUCACAAGACCUGAGAAUAUUUGGAAUGUUAUUAAUAUGUUAGGUGACACUCUGUGAAGUGGUUUCAUGGUCAAAAUCCAGGUAGAAGACAGAGGAUCAGCUGAAGCAGAGUCAAUGUUGAGCCACUACAAAUGGAUCAGGAAGAUGGAAACAGGACUGAGCUGAGCAGGAAGAUUUUCGAGGACAAACCAGGGUCAGAAGACACAGGAGAGGAGCAAACUCAGGACCAUCCAUUCAAAGAUACCACUCUGAGUACAAUGUGUGCUCUAUUGAAGCAGCUUUUUAAUGAUGAUGUAACGAUUGGAAUGAUGCCACCUGCUGGAGACUUACUGUAGAAGAGUUCCGCCC